AGGACAUUAUUGCUAUUGAGAGAGUGCAGCGUAAGUUCACCAGGUUAAGUCCCGGGAUGGCGGGUCUGACAUAUGAUGUAAGAAUGAGUCGACCUGGCUUGAAUUCACUGGAAUUUAGAAGGAUGAGAGGCUAUCUCAUUGAAACAUAUA